CACAUAUAUAGUUUAUUUGUGAUAAUCUAUUUUUCUUUUAAUUUAUUUUUGAGUGUUAUUUUUAUUGUUUGUGAACAAGUGACAACCAUAUGUGCAUGAUGCAGUGUAGGUGGUGAUAUUGAGUUGGAAGAAAGAGAGCUAGAGGAUGAUGGUGAAGAAGGUUCGGUUUUAUGCAAGGAAACUCACACCAUAAAAGACAGCAGCUUUCGGCAAACAUGCAAAUCACACAUGCUUUGGCAGCCAUUCACACGAUGCAACCACUCACACAUGCUGCAGCAAAGAAAAGUGCAAAACCAGAAAAACAUUCGGACAACACCAUGCAUGGGACCCACUCACACGAAGCAAGCACACAGCCACUCACACCAUGCAGGACAGCAAGAACUCCACUCACACGAUGCAGCACAUGGACAACAAGAACUCCACUCACACGAUGCAGCACAUGGACAGCAAAGAAAAAGAAACUCACACACGCAUGACAGCAGACCAUUCACACUCGGUUGGGCAGCACGUUACAGCAAACAGCUACCACAGCAGCUCACACAUGCAAGAGAGGAAGACUUACACAUGCAGAAAAGUGUAAAACCAGCAAACCACUCGGACAGCACUCAUGCAGAGCACAAUGCACAUGCAACCAACAUGCACACAUGCACAUAUGCAGCACCGAAGGCAGAAACAGCAGAUUUAUUUUUUCCCUUCUUUCUUUUUCAUUGGGUUAGCUGGAGCAGCUGGAUGUGCAGCUAUUUAUAGCUGGUAGAAGCAGCAGCAGAGUUUCAUCUUUCUUUCUCUUUCGUUCGGGUAGCUGGAAGCAGCUUAGCUUUAUUUUUUCUCUCUUUUUCGUUUGGUAGCAGGCGGCUAGGCGGCUUCAUUUUUAUUCUUUGUCUUAUUGUAUUCUAUUUUCGGAGAGUUUUUUUUGGACAGAGUUUUAGUUUUUUUUACUUAAGUUAUUUUCUGUUUAGAAGAAGCAGUCGAGAGUUUUUUUUUUUUUUUUUUGACUUUUUUUAUUUCCGUUUAGAAGCUGGAGGCAGCAACACAUAGCAGUUUAGUUUUUGACUUAUUUUCUUUUUGUUUAGAAGCUAGCAGCAGCAGCACGGAGAAAGUUUUUGUUUACUUAUUUACUUUUCGUUUAGACUAGAAGGGGGUUGGGGUUGGUUUUAUUUUUUUUCUUUCAUUUUCAUUUUCUGUUUCAGACGCUAGGCUGCAGUUUAUCUUCUUGCUGUUUCUUUUGCUUUUUUUUAUUCGGCGUUUUGAAUGUUCUUCAGUUCAGCAUCUGUAUAUUUUUUUUGAGUUGGUUUUUAUCUCUUCUUCUUUCGUUUAGCAUUUUUUAUUUAUUCUUCUUUCCGUUUUUGGCGUCUGAAGUUAAGUUGUAUUUCCUAGUUUUUUUUUAGAUGGAACUCUCUUUUUUUUUUUUUUUGCUUCAUUUUCUUUAGAGAAGCAGAGGAAGUCGGUGGCUGCUUAUUUAUUUAUUUUCGUUCAAUCAUUUAUUUUUUCGUUCAGUUCUAUAGUUUUACUUCUCAUAUUUAGUUUUUAUUCUUUUCGGUUGUAGCGUUGAGCAUUUCUUUUUCCUUUCUCUCGUUCGUGUUCAUCGUUUGGAGUUCUCAUUUUAUUUUACUUCGGUUCAUUCCUUUGUUUAUUUGUCUCUUAUUUGGUGCUCAUUCCUUUUCACGUUGCAGACUGAACUUGAUUGUUCUAGGGGAGAGUUGUGUU